GCCCGGCUGAAAGAUGGCCGCCGCCGCUCGGCAGCCGCCGCCCCGGAGGUUACUCUAGGGCCUGCAGUUUCCCUCCGUUCCCGCGGGCAGCCGCCGCCUCCUUACCAUGAAGCCAGUGAGUCGCCACACCCUGGACUGGAUUUAUUCAGCGUUGCUCCUCGCCAUCGUAUUGCUCUCCUGGGGAUAUGUCAUCUAUGCAUCAACAGUAGCCGCACGACGACAGCUCAGCAAGGAAUACCCAGACAAAAUCUCGGGGAUGAAUGAAAAUUUGUAAUUCCUCUGGAUUUAAUUUUGUGCACACAGUUCUUUACCUGAUGUUUGUCUGGCAUGUGUCUCGAUUUAAAGUAAAAUUCAUUAUGCAAAGUUUCCAAAUUUA